rnacentral:rRNA from 1 species
UACGAAGGGAGCUAGCGUUGUUCGGAAUCACUGGGCGUAAAGCGCACGUAGGCGGAUGUGUCAGUCAGGGGUGAAAUCCCCGGAGCUCAACUUCGGAACUGCCCUUGAUACAGCACGUCUUGAGUCCGGAAGAGGUGGGUGGAAUUCCUAGUGUAGAGGUGAAAUUCGUAGAUAUUAGGAAGAACACCGGUGGCGAAGGCGGCCCACUGGUCCGGUACUGACGCUGAGGUGCGAAAGCGUGGGGAGCAAACAGG